GACGAACGCUGGCGGCGUGCUUAACACAUGCAAGUCGAACGGAAAGGCCCUGCUUUUGUGGGGUGCUCGAGUGGCGAACGGGUGAGUAACACGUGAGUAACCUGCCCUUGACUUUGGGAUAACUUCAGGAAACUGGGGCUAUUACGGGAUAGUCACUCUUCUUCCCGUGGGGGGUUGGGAAAUUUCUGCUGGUGGUGGGGGAUGGGCUGGCGGCCUAUCUGCUUGUUGGGGGGGUGGUUGCCCACCAAGGCUUUGACGGGCAGCCGGCCUGGGAGGAUGACCGGCGACAUUGGGACUGAGAUACGGCGCAGACUCCUACGGGAGGCAGCAGUGGGGAAGAUUGCAGAAUGGGCGGAAGACUGAGGCAGCAACGCGGCGUGCGGGAUGUCGGCCUUCGGUUUGUAAAACGCUUUCGCCUGUGACGAAGCGGUAGUGACGGUAAUGGGUAAAGAAGCACCGGCUAACUACGUG
rnacentral:rRNA from 1 species